AUUGCCCUAGUAACGGCGAGUGAAGCGGCAACAGCUCAAAUUUGAAAUCUGGCUCUUUCAGAGUCCGAGUUGUAAUUUGCAGAGGGUGCUUUGGUGGUAGUUGCGGUCUAAGUUCUUUGGAACAGGACGUCACAGAGGGUGAGAAUCCCGUAUGUGGUCGCUACUUAUCACCGUGUAAAGCCCCUUCGACGAGUCGAGUUGUUUGGGAAUGCAGCUCUAAAUGGGAGGUAAAUUUCUUCUAAAGCUAAAUACUGGCCAGAGACCGAUAGCGCACAAGUAGAGUGAUCGAAAGAUGAAAAGCACUUUGGAAAGAGAGUCAAAUAGCACGUGAAAUUGUUGAAAGGGAAGCGCUUGUAGCCAGACUUGCCUGUAGUUGCUUACCUAGACUUUUGUCUGGGGUACUCUUCUGCAGGCAGGCCAGCAUCAGUUUGGGCGGUUGGAUAAAGGUCUCUGUCACGUACCUCCUUUCGGGGAGGCCUUAUAGGGGAGACGUCAUACAACCAGCCUGGACUGAGGUCCGCGCAUCUGCUAGGAUGCUGGCGUAAUGGCUGUAAGCGGCCCGUCUUGAAACACGGACCAAGGAGUCUAACAUCUAUGCGAGUGUUUGGGUGUCAAGCCCAUACGCGUAAUGAAAGUGAACGGAGGUGGGAACCUUAGGGUGCACCAUCGACCGAUCCUGAUGUCUUCGGAUGGAUUUGAGUAAGAGCAUGGCUGUUGGGACCCGAAAGAUGGUGAACUAUGCUUGAAUAGGGUGAAGCCAGAGGAAACUCUGGUGGAGGCUCGCAGCGGUUCUGACGUGCAAAUCGAUCGUCAAAUUUGGGCAUAGGGGCGAAAGACUAAUCGAACUAUCUAGUAGCUGGUUCCUGCCGAAGUUUCCCUCAGGAUAGCAGUAACGU
rnacentral:rRNA from 1 species